rnacentral:rRNA from 1 species
AGAGUUUGAUCAUGGCUCAGGACAAACGCUGGCGGCGUGCCUAACACAUGCAAGUCGAACGGAAGUUAGAGCUUCGGUUUUAACUUUAGUGGCGAACGGGUGAGUAACGCGUGAGGAACCUGCCUUUCAGUGGGGGACAACAGUUGGAAACGACUGCUAAUACCGCAUGACACUUUUGGGAGACAUCUCCUGGAAGUCAAAGCUUUAUGUGCUGAAAGAUGGCCUCGCGUCUGAUUAGCUGGUUGGUGAA